CCUACGGGUGGCAGCAGUGGGGAAUAGUGCACAAUGGGGGGAACCCUGAUGCAGCGACGCCGCGUGGGUGAAGGAGUACGUCGGGACGGAAAGCCCUAUCAGCAGGAAAGAAAAUGACGGUACCUGACGAAGAAGCCCCGGCUAACUACGUGCCAGCAGCCGCGGUAAUACGUAGGGGGCAAGCGUUAUCCGGAUUUACUGGGUGUAAAGGGAGCGUAGACGGCAGUGCAAGUCCGGAGUGAAAGCCCGGGGCUCAACCCUGGGACUGCUCUGGAAACUGUAAAGCUGGAGUGCGGGAGGGGCAGGCGGAAUUCCUGGUGUCGCGGUGACCUGCGUAGAUAUCAGGCGGAACACCGGCGGCGAAGGCGGCCUGCUGGACCGUAACUGCCGUUGAGGCUCGACCGCGUGGGGAGCACACAGGCUUAGAUACCCGUGUCGUC
rnacentral:rRNA from 1 species